rnacentral:rRNA from 1 species
AACGAACGCUGGCGGCGUGGAUAAGACAUGCAAGUCGAACGAGGUUACUUCUGUAGCAAUACAGGAGUGGCUUAGUGGCGCAAGGGUGCGUAACACGUGGGCAACCUGCCCUGGGGUGUGGGAUAGCCCGCCGAAAGGCGGAUUAAUACCGCAUGUGGCUACCAAAUGCAUAUUUGGGACGCUAAAGGUGGCGCAAGCUACCGCUCCGGGAUGGGCCCGCGGCCCAUCAGCAGUUGGCGGGGUAACGGCCCACCAAGGCUAUGACGGGUAGCUGGUCUGAGAGGACGACCAGCCACACUGGAACUGAGACACGGUCCAGACACCUACGGGUGGCAGCAGUCGAGAAUUUUUCUCAAUGGGGGAAACCCUGAAGGAGCGACGCCGCGUGGAGAUGAAGGUUUUCGGAUUGUAAACUCCUGUCAUUGGUGAACAAAGCCCCCGGUUAAACUGCCGAAGGGUUUGCUAGUAGCCGAAGAGGAAGGGACGGCUAACUCUGUGCCAGCCGCCGCUGUAAC